CGCUCCUGCUCCGGGACUGGUGCUCUAGGGUGUCCCCCCCCCCAGGGAACCCUGCUGGCACCUGGCGUGGGAAGCGCCUGGGGUAGCGGCACACGGGACUGACGUCAUGGGCAGGGCACGUCGCCCCCCAGCCUCCAGGAGACCCAGGUGCUGCACUGGCUCUUCGGCUGCCCCUUGGAAUCCGGAGACGUUGCCACAGAGUCCUUCCUGCGCCCAGCGCCCACUGACCUGCUGAUAGAGAUCGGGCCACGGCUGAACUUCUCCACGGCGUUCUCCACCAACGUGGUGUCCGUGUGCCAGGCCGCGGGGCUGGGCUGCGUUGACCGUGUCGAGCUCUCCCACCGCUACCUGCUGCAGCGCCCCACGCCCCCCGAGGAGGACGCCCUGGUGGCGGUGCUCAAAGUGACCGGAUGACGGAGCAGUGCUACAAGGAGCCAAUCCGCAGCUUCACCGUCACCCGUGGCCGCCUGCCCUGCCCCCACCUGGGAUGUGGAUGUGCUGGGGAAGGGGGCCGCACUGCGCUGGAGAGUGCCAACCA